rnacentral:rRNA from 1 species
UGCAGCUGCAUUAUCACCUUGUCAGUUCAUCUUGUCAGAUCUCACAAUCUAAACAAGGCUGGGCCUGGCCAGCACUGGGAAGUGAGACCUCCAAGGAAAAUCGUGUUGUUGCUGUAA